AUUGAACGCUGGCGGCAUGCUUUACACAUGCAAGUCGAACGGUAACAGGCCUUCGGGUGCUGACGAGUGGCGAACGGGUGAGUAAUGCAUCGGAACGUGCCCAGAGGUGGGGGAUAACGCAGCGAAAGCUGUGCUAAUACCGCAUGUGAUCUGAGGAUGAAAGCGGGGGACCAGGCAGCAAUGUUUGGCCUCGCGCCUUUGGAGCGGCCGAUGUCAGAUUAGGUAGUUGGUGGGGUAAAGGCCUACCAAGCCGACGAUCUGUAGCUGGUCUGAGAGGACGACCAGACACACUGGGACUGAGACACGGCCCAGACUCCUACGGGAGGCAGCAGUGGGGAAUUUUGGACAAUGGGCGCAAGCCUGAUCCAGCAAUGCCGCGUGCGGGAAGAAGGCCUUAGGGUUGUAAACCGCUUUUGUACGGAACGAAAAGGCUCUGGCUAAUACCUGGGGCUGAUGACGGUACCGUAAGAAUAAGCACCGGCUAACUACGUG
rnacentral:rRNA from 1 species